UUAUGAAUAAGGAUCGGCUAACUCCGUGCCAGCAGCCGCGGUAAUACGGAGGAUCCGAGCGUUAUCCGGAUUUAUUGGGUUUAAAGGGAGCGUAGAUGGAUGUUUAAGUCAGUUGUGAAAGUUUGCGGCUCAACCGUAAAAUUGCAGUUGAUACUGGAUGUCUUGAGUGCAGUUGAGGCAGGCGGAAUUCGUGGUGUAGCGGUGAAAUGCUUAGAUAUCACGAAGAACUCCGAUUGCGAAGGCAGCCUGCUAAGCUGCAACUGACAUUGAGGCUCGAAAGUGUGGGUAUCAAACAGGAUUAGAUACCCUGGUAGUCCACACGGUAAACGAUGAAUACUCGCUGUUUGCGAUAUACGGCAAGCGGCCAAGCGAAAGCGUUAAGUAUUCCACCUGGGGAGUACGCCGGCAACGGUGAAACUCAAAGGAAUUGACGGGGGCCCGCACAAGCGGAGGAACAUGUGGUUUAAUUCGAUGAUACGCGAGGAACCUUACCCGGGCUUAAAUUGCACUCGAAUGAUCCGGAAACGGUUCAGCUAGCAAUAGCGAGUGUGAAGGUGCUGCAUGGUUGUCGUCAGCUCGUGCCGUGAGGUGUCGGCUUAAGUGCCAUAACGAGCGCAACCCUUAUCGAUAGUUACCAUCAGGUUAUGCUGGGGACUCUGUCGAGACUGCCGUCGUAAGAUGUGAGGAAGGUGGGGAUGACGUCAAAUCAGCACGGCCCUUACGUCCGGGGCUACACACGUGUUACAAUGGGGGGUACAGAAGGCAGCUACCUGGUGACAGGAUGCUAAUCCCAAAAGCCUCUCUCAGUUCGGAUCGAAGUCUGCAACCCGACUUCGUGAAGCUGGAUUCGCUAGUAAUCGCGCAUCAGCCACGGCGCGGUGAAUACGUUCCCGGGCCUUGUACACACCGCCCGUCAAGCCAUGGGAGCCGGGGGUACCUGAAGUGCGUAACCGCGAGGAUCGCCCUAGGGUAAAACUGGUGACUGGGGCUAAGUCGUAACAAGGUAGCCGUACCGGAAGGUGCGGCUG
rnacentral:rRNA from 1 species